AACGAACGCUGGCGGCGCGCCUAAUACAUGCAAGUCGAGCGAGAAGACGUAGCAAUACGUUUGUAAAGCGGCGAACGGGUGAGGAAUACAUGGGUAGCCUACCCUCGAGUGGGGAAUAACUAGCCGAAAGGUUAGCUAAUACCGCGUACGCUCCUUGGACUUCGGUUCAGGGAGGAAAGCGAUACCGUGGGUAUCGCGCUCUUGGAUGGGCUCAUGUCCUAUCAGCUUGUUGGNGAGGUAACGGCUCACCAAGGCUUCGACGGGUAGCUGGUCUGAGAGGACAAUCAGCCACACUGGCACUGCGACACGGGCCAGACUCCUACGGGAGGCAGCAGUAAGGAAUAUUGCGCAAUGGGCGAAAGCCUGACGCAGCGACGCCGCGUGGGGGAUGAAGGUCUUCGGAUUGUAAACCCCUUUCGGGAGGGAAGAUGGAACGAGCAAUCGUUCGGACGGUCCUCCAGAAGCAGCCACGGCUAACUUCGUGCCAGCAGCCGCCGUAAG
rnacentral:rRNA from 1 species